UAUAUGUACUCAUCUGUAUAUUGUUAUUAAAUAUUGCAAUCCGAGAUAUCAGAUAUUUAUUAGUGCUCUUCUCUUAGUUCCGAAAUAUUUACAAUUGUACAGUUUAGUAUUUACUAUUUCAUAUUCAUUAAAUUGUUAAUUAAGUGGAAGAUUAUAAAGAAAGGUAGAGCAGUAGAGCAGUAGUAGAGUUUGAAUCAGUUAUUAUCUACACAGAAGCAAAUACUGUGUAAUCUGUUCUCGGUUUUCUUAUUCAAAAGAAAUGGAUGCUCAAACAACGGGUAAACAUGUAUCAUCAAUUGUUCUUGAAAAAUAGACUCUGUUUUGGAUGCUUAACGUGAAUGGAACGUUGCCUUUAUCUCUACAUAAAUACUGUUACCUCCAUCACAAUUGUAAAUACAUAUUUAAUUUAUUCUAGUACUUAAAAGUAUACUCGGAUAGUUAUGUAUUUACAGUAUUUAUUAAUAAAAUAAUUUAUACAA